rnacentral:rRNA from 1 species
GAUGAACGCUAGCGGCAGGCUUAAUACAUCGCAAGUCGUGGGGCAGCAUGAGUAGCAAUACUUGAUGGCGACCGGCAAACGGGUGAGGAACACGUACACAACCUUCCUUCAAGCGGGGAAUAGCCCAGAGAAAUUUGGAUUAAUACCCCAUAAUAUAUUUGAUAAGGCAUCUUAUUAAUAUUAAAGCUUCGGCACUUGAUGAUGGGUGUGCGGCUGAUUAGAUAGUUGGCGGGUAACGGCCCACCAAGUCUACGAUCAGUAGCUGAUGUGAGAGCAUGAUCAGCCACACGGGCACUGAGACACGGGCCCGACUCCUACGGGAGCAGCAGUAAGGAAUAUUGGACAAUGGACGAAAGUCUGAUCAGCCAUGCCGCGUGAAGGAUAAGGU